AAGCGGAGGAAAAGAAACCAACAGGGAUUGCCUCAGUAACGGCGAGUGAAGCGGCAAAAGCUCAAAUUUGAAAUCCCCCGGGAAUUGUAAUUUGAAGAGAUUUGGGUCCGGCCGGCAGGGGUUAAGUCCACUGGAAAGUGGCGCCACAGAGGGUGACAGCCCCGUGAGCCCCUUUAACGCCUUCAUCCCAGAUCUCCAAGAGUCGAGUUGUUUGGGAAUGCAGCUCUAAGUGGGUGGUAAAUUCCAUCUAAAGCUAAAUACCGGCGAGAGACCGAUAGCGAACAAGUACAGUGAUGGAAAGAUGAAAAGCACUUUGAAAAGAGAGUGAAAAAGUACGUGAAAUUGUUGAAAGGGAAGGGCUUGCAAGCAGACACUUAACUGGGCCAGCAUCGGGGCGGCGGGGAGCAAAACCACCGGGGAAUGUACCUUUCGAGGAUUAUAACCCCGGCCCUUACUCCCAUACUGCCCCGAGGCCCGCAAUCUAAGGAUGCUGGCGUAAUGGUUGCAAGUCGCCCGUCUUGAA
rnacentral:rRNA from 1 species